CAACUUUCAACAACGGAUCUCUUGGCUCUCGCAUCGAUGAAGAACGCAGCGAAAUGCGAUACGUAAUGUGAAUUGCAGAAUUCAGUGAAUCAUCGAAUCUUUGAACGCACCUUGCGCCCCUUGGCAUUCCGAGGGGCACACCCGUUU
rnacentral:rRNA from 4 species